UUAAGCGUCCAAAGAGUAUUCAGUGAAUGCCUUGGCGAUAAGAGGCGAAGAAAGACGUGGCACUCUGCGAUAAGUUCCGGGGAGGCGAGAGCACCCUUUGAUCCGGAAAUCUCUGAAUGGGGAAACCCAACUUCGAAGCCUUAAAUUUUAUGUCAUUUCGGUGAUAUAGAAUUUAAGGUUUCAAAAGAAGUUAUAAUAACAUGAAUACAUAGUGUUAUUAAGCAAACCUGGGGAAGUGAAACAUCUCAGUACCCAGAGGAAAGGACAUCAACCGAGACUCCGUUAGUAGUGGCGAGCGAACGCGGAAUAGGCCAGUGGUAAUUUGUAAUAACAGGAAGUAACUGGAAAGUUACGCCAUAGUGGGUGAUAGCCCCGUACUGGUAAAAAUCAAAUUAUCCUUGAGUAGGGCGGAACACGUGAAAUUCUGUCUGAAUAUGGGGGGCCCACCCUCCAAGCCUAAGUACUCCUUAUCGACCGAUAGUGAACCAGUACCGUGAGGGAAAGGUGAAAAGCACCCCGACAAGGGGAGUGAAAUAGUACCUGAAACUGGAUACUUACAAGCAGUUGGAGCCCCUUCGGGGGUGACAGCGUACCUUUUGUAUAAUGGGCCAGCGACUUAAUGUAACAAGCAAGCUUAAACCGAUAGGUGUAGGCGCAGGGAAACCGAGUCUGAAUAGGGCGUCGAGUUUGUUGUAUUAGACCCGAAACGUGUUGAUCUACCUAUGAGCAGAGUGAAGGUGCAGUAACAUGCACUGGAGGCUCGAACCCUUGAAUGUUGAAAAAUUCUGGGAUGACUUGUUGGUAGGGGUGAAAGGCCAAUCAAAACACGUGAUAGCUGGUUCUCCGCGAAAACUAUUUAGGUAGUGCGUCGCGUAUUACUCCAGGGGGUAGAGCACUGGAUGGGCUAGGGGUCCUCACCGGAUUACCAAACCUAACCAAACUCCGAAUACCUGGAAGUAGAGCGCGGCAGACAGACGGCGGGUGCUAACGUCCGUCGUCAAGAGGGAAACAACCCUAACCGCCAGUUAAGGCCCCCAAAUAGUGGCUAAGUUGUAAAGGAUGUGGAAUUGCACAGACAACUAGGAUGUUGGCUUAGAAGCAGCCAUCAUUUAAAGAAAGCGUAACAGCUCACUAGUCAAGCGAUUCUGCGCCGAAAAUGUAACGGGGAUUAAGCCACUUGCCGAAACUGCGGAUUCCAUAUUUAUAUGGAGUGGUAGCGGAGCGUUCUGUAAGCCGUUGAAGCAGCAUGGUGAUGUGCUGUGGAGGUAUCAGAAGUGAGAAUGCUGGCAUGAGUAGCGACAAAGAGUGUGAGAGACACUCUCGCCGAAAGACCAAGGUUUCCUACGUAAAGUUAAUCUGCGUAGGGUUAGUCGGCCCCUAAGGUGAGGCAGAAAUGCGUAGCCGAUGGGAAACAGGUUAAUAUUCCUGUACUUGGUGGUGGUGACGAACGUCGGAAGUUAUCAGUUCUUAUUGGAUUGAACUGGUAGCCUAGAAGUUCCAGGAAAUAGCCCCACCGUAUAAACCGUACCCGAAACCGACACAGGUGGUCAGGUAGAGCAUACCAAGGCGCUUGAGAGAACUAUGCUGAAGGAACUCGGCAAAUUGCUCCCGUAACUUCGGAAGAAGGGAGACUUUUUGUUGGGCAACCAGCAAGAAGUGGCACAGACUAGGGGGUGGCGACUGUUUAUCAAAAACACAGGGCUCUGCGAAGUCGCAAGACGACGUAUAGGGUCUGACGCCUGCCCGGUGCCUGAAGGUUAAGAGGAGGUGUGCAAGCACUGAAUUGAAGCCCAGGUGAACGGCGGCCGUAACUAUAACGGUCCUAAGGUAGCGAAAUUCCUUGUCGGGUAAGUUCCGACCUGCACGAAUGGCGUAACGACUUCCCCACUGUCUCCAGCAUAGACUCAGCGAAAUUGAAAUCUCCGUGAAGAUGCGGAGUUCCCGUGGCUAGACGGAAAGACCCUGUGAACCUUUACUGCAGUUUUGUAGUGGUGCUAUCGAUAUCAUGUGUAGGAUAGGUCGGAGACUUUGAAGCAUUGGCGCCAGCCAUUGUGGAGUCACCCUUGAAAUACGACCCUUGAUCUCGGUGGCAUCUAACCGCGGUCCCUUAUCGGGAUCCGGGACCCUACAUGACGGGCAGUUUGACUGGGGCGGUCGCCUCCUAAAGUGUAACGGAGGCGCGCGAUGGUGGGCUCAAGCCGGUCGGAAAUCGGCUGUUGAGUGCAAUGGCAUAAGCCCGCCUGACUGCGAGACUGACGAGUCGAGCAGAGACGAAAGUCGGCCAUAGUGAUCCGGUGAUUCUGCGUGGUAGGAUCAUCGCUCAACGGAUAAAAGGUACUCCGGGGAUAACAGGCUGAUGACCCCCAAGAGUCCAUAUCGACGGGGUCGUUUGGCACCUCGAUGUCGGCUCAUCUCAUCCUGGGGCUGGAGAAGGUCCCAAGGGUAUGGCUGUUCGCCAUUUAAAGAGGUACGUGAGCUGGGUUCAGAACGUCGUGAGACAGUUUGGUCCCUAUCUACCAUGGGUGUCGAAACUUGAGAGGAUUUGUCCCUAGUACGAGAGGACCGGGAUGAACAUACCUCUGGUGGACCAGUUGUCCUGCCAAGGGCAUAGCUGGGUAGCUAAGUAUGGAAUAGAUAAACGCUGAAAGCAUCUAAGCGUGAAACUAACCUCAAAACCAGGUUUCAUUUAGAGUCGUGAUAGACCAUCACGUUGAUAGGGCAGAUGUGGAAGCGCGG
rnacentral:rRNA from 1 species